UCACAUAAUCUGCAUCUGAAGGUAUCUGGAAGUGUGGUGCUUAACAAUCUUCAAAUUCUGCAGUAGUACAUCUGUAACAUCUCACAGGCCAAAGACACAUAGGUUUGGUGCGCCCAGUAAAAGACCCACCCAAGGAGAGAUAGAUAGAUAGAUAGAUAGAAUAGAUGAAGCUCAUGGAGUGAUCUCAUCUCAUCCCUUCUUAUCCUUAUCUCUUAUUCUCUUUAUUCCCCCAUCUUAUUUCAGAUCUGGUUGUUUCUCUUUUGGUUUUAUCUCACAGGGGUUGCUGCCGGAGAGGAAGGAACUUGGAAGCCAUGAUAUAGCAAACCCCCCCUUAGAUCUAGCUACUUUCAGAUUUUGAAAAAAGGCACUUCACCGAUCAAAAAAAAAUGGCACUUAGUUCACAAUUGGGUGCUGAUGUUAACCAUUAAGCACAUGGUAGACCACCACUCAGUUUUAUCGAAUUGAUAGGUGCACUGCUCAGUUUCGGAAAUUGAGCGGUGCAAUGGCAGGCCACCACUUCGUUCCGCAGAAUGAGUGUGCACUGCUCAGUCCCGGGUACUGAGCGGUGCAAUGGCAGGUCACCGUCAGUUCCUAAAACUGAGAGGUCCAAAGCUAUGUGUCUAAUGGAGAACGUCACACUUAAUGGAACUGAGCAGCUUCCGGACAAAUGAAACUAUUGGAAAACAGGUCUUGCCUUUGCAUUCCUAACUCUAACUCUAUGUUUAUUAACACUUAUGAUCAUGUUUAUUAUGUUUUGCAUAAAAUUGUUUCUAACUUGAUCAUUGGAGUAUCUUUUUUGUUUUUUUUUUGCAGGUCUUGCCUUUGUAUUCCUAACUCUAACUCCAUGUUUAUUAACCCUAACUCUACUUUUAUUACGUUUUGAUAAAAUUGUUUCUAAUUUGAGUGUUGGAGUAUCUUUAUUGUUUAAUGCAGGUCUUGGUUUUGUAUUCCUAACUCUAACUCUACGUUUAUUAUGUUUUGCAUAAAAUUGUUUCUAACUUGAGCCUUGGAGUGUCUUUAUUGUUUUUUUGCAGGUCUUGGCUUUGUAUUCCUAACUCUAACUCUAUAUUUAUUACGUUUUGCAUAAAAUUGUUUCUAACUUGAGUGUUGGAGUAUCUUUAUUGUUUAAUGCAGGUUUUGGUUUUGUAUUCCUAACUCUAACUCUACGUUUAUUAUGUUUUGCAUAAAAUUGUUUCUAACUUGAGUGUUGGAGUAUCUUUAUUGUUUUUUGCAGGUCUUGGCUUUGUAUUCCUAACUCUAACUCUAUGUUUAUUAUGUUUUGCAUAAAAUUGUUUCUAACUUGAGCCUUGGAGUAUCUUUAUUGUUUUUUGCAGGUCUUGGCUUUGUAUUCCUAACUCUAACUCUAUGUUUAUUAACCCUUAACUCUACGUUUAUUAUGUUUUGCAUAAAACUGUUUCUAACUUGAGCGUCGGAGUAUCUUCCUUGUUUUUUUGCAGGUCUUGCCUUUGUAUUCCUGUGGCCAAUUCAAUUAGUAGAGUUGUUGAAAUGGAAUGCUGGUACCUUGCGGGGAACGUCAUCUGUUUGGCUUUUGAUCAGUUUGCCUCUAGGGUAUGUCUGACUUUAAAGGAUACAAAUGAAGACAGAUCAGUCCUGUGAAUCAUGUACUAAUGAGAUCCUCCUCUUCCCUGAAGGAGGCUGCAUUUUAACUCAAAAGGUGUUAUAACCUGCUUUUGUAAUAUCUUCCUCUGGAAUGACCUGCUUUUGUAAUCCUUCUCCUCCCCGGGUAUAUAAUGCACAUUUUAUUCUCCUUGGCUCACAAAGAGUAGUGAAGGUGUCUGGUAGUGGAAUGGGUCUGAACUAUUUGGUUUAUUGAUCGCCAGUCGGGGGUUCCUGGUGAAUUUUUUGAAUUGGAAUUGUUGUUUGUUAUGGUAUAUCCAGUUCUUAGUGCACACAAGUGAUUCCCUGGUGUAAAACAGAGACACCAGUACAUAAAACAGAGUAGAGAAUGCAAUUUGCGCAAAAGUAAUUCGAAGUUUGUUUUUGAAUAAACUGCUGACAACAAUCACCUUCUCAAAAUCCAUCGUCCUUGAAGCAUCAGCAACUAAAGGUUCAUUCUUAGCUAGCUAAUUGAGUUGAGGCAGCUGCUAAGAACUUCUUCGCGCAAUAGCUGACCCCAUUCGAAGUUGCGCUUCACAUAAUCUGCAUCUGAAGGUAUCUGGAAGUGUGGUGCUUAACAAUCUUCAAAUUCUGCAGUAGUACAUCUGUAACAUCUCACAGGCCAAAGACACAUAGGUUUGGUGCGCCCAGUAAAAGACCCACCCAAGGAGAGAUAGAUAGAUAGAAUAGAUGAAGCUCAUGGAAACUCUGAUUAUUUUGAGUCUGAGGGGUUGCUGCUGGAGAGGAAGGAACUUGGAAGCCAUGAUAUAGCAAACCCCCCCUUAGAUCUAGCUACUUUCAGAUUUUGAAAAAAGGCACUUCACCUAUCAAAAAAAAAUGGCACUUAGUUCACAAUUGGGUGCUGAUGUUAACCAUUAAGCACAUGGUAGACCACCACUCAGUUUUAUCGAAUUAAUAGGUGCACUGCUCAGUUUCAGAAACUGAACGGUGCAACGGCAGGCCACCAUUUCGUUCCGUAGAAUGAGUGUGCACUGCUCAGUCCCGGGUACUGAGCGGUGCAAUGGCAGGUCACCGUCAGUUCCUAAAACUGAGAGGUGCAAAGCUAUGUGUCUAAUGGAGAACGUCACACUUAAUGGAAGUGAGCAGCUUCCGGACAAAUGAAACUAUUGGAAAACAGGUAAAUGAGCUUCUCUUUUCCUCCUUUUUUUUGUUUUUGUUUUUUUUAUUUGUCGUUUUUCUUUCGUAUUUUAUUGAAAUCACUGUUGGAAGUCUGGUACACAGCAAGGCAGUGAUACUCCCCAUGUAGUUCAGCUACAGCUGCUGAAACAUAGCUAAGUCUGAUUCUUGGGUAACGUUUCAACGUAAAUAGCCAUGUUUAGCUUUUGUUAUAUUGCUGACUUUGGUACUCUGCUAGUAUAUUUAGGUGCACAUUCUUAACACUCUCAAUGUAUACUUAAAUUGCCCUUAUAUUUGUAGAAUCCCUGAGUUUCUUUUUUGCUUGGUACAUGUCUAUCAUUUUUGUUCAAGGUUUCUGCCCCUUCUUCUGAUGAGUGUCAGGUCGGUACAUUUUUGCCUUAACAAAGAUAUUUGUUACUAACUUGUGUGUUGCUUUUGUUUUUUGCAGGUCUUGCCUUUGCAUUCCUAACUCUAACUCUAUGUUUAUUAACACUUACAAUCAUGUUUAUUAUGUUUUGCAUAAAAUUGUUUCUAACUUGAUCAUUGGAGUAUCUGUUUUUUUUUUGCAGGUCUCGCCUUUGUAUUCCUAACUCUAACUCCAUGUUUAUUAACCCUAACUCUACUUUUAUUAUGUUUUGCAUAAAAUUGUUUCUACCUUGAGCGUUGGAGUAUCUUUAUAGAUUUUUGCAGGUCUUGGCUUUGUACUCCUAACUCUUAACUCUACGUUUAUUAUGUUUUGCAUAAAAUUGUUUCUAACAUGAGCCUUGGAGUAUCUUUAUUGUUUUUUGCAGGUCUUGGCUUUGUAUUCCUAACUCUAACUCUAUAUUUAUUAUGUUUUGCAUAAAAUUGUUUCUAACUUUAGUGUUGGAUUAUCUUUAUUGUUUUUUUUUGCAGGUCUUGGCUUUGUAUUCCUAACUCUAACUCUAUAUUUAUUACGUUUUGCAUAAAAAUGUUUCUAACUUGAGUGUUAGAGUAUCUUUAUUGUUUAAUGCAGGUCUUGGUUUUGUAUUCCUAACUCUAAGUCUAACUUUAAUGCAGGUCUUGGUUUUGUUUCUAACUUGAGUGUUGGAGUAUCUUUAUUGUUUUUUGCAGGUCUUGGUUUUGUAUUCCUAACUCUAACUCUACGUUUAUUAUGUUUUGCAUAAAAUUGUUUCUAACUUGAGUGUUGGAGUAUCUUUGUUGUUUUUUGCAGGUCUUGGCUUUGUAUUCCUAACUCUAACUCUACGUUUAUUAUGUUUUGCAUGAAAUUGUUUCUGACUUGAGCCUUGGAGUAUCUUUGUUGUUUUUUGCAGGUCUUGGCUUUGUAUUCCUAAUUCUAACUCUAUGUUAAUUAACCCUUAACUCUAUGUUUAUUAUGUUUAUCUUUGUUGUUUUUUGCAGGUCUUGGCUUUGUAUUCCUAAUUCUAACUCUAUGUUAAUUAACCCUUAACUCUAGUUUAUUAUGUUUUGCAUAAAAUUGUUUCUAACUUGAGCGUCGGAGUAUCUUCCUUGUUUUUUUGCAGGUCUUGCCUUUGUAUUCUUAUGGCCAAUUCAAUUAGUAGAGUUGUUGAAACGGAAUGCUGGUGCCUCGCGGGGAACGUCAUCUGUUUGGCCUUUGAUCAGUUUGCCUCUAGUGCAUGUCUGACUUCAAAGGAUUCAAAUGAAGACAGAUCAGUCCUGUGAAUCAUGUACUAAUGAGAUCCUCAUCUUCCCUGAAGGAGGCUUCAUUUUAACUCCAAAGGUCUUGUCUGCUUAUUGGGUGGCCACUCGUUAGGGAGAACUUGUAAUGUGGAAUGCUGGUGCCUGGUAGAGAUUGCCUGGCAUUUGACCAGUCUGUUGUCAAGGCUUUUUAUGCAAAAGACGUGCCAGGAGAUUUAGCAGGAUGUGAAAAGUGCAAUGAUGCGGUGAGACUUGAUAAGCCUGGUGGUCCAUUGAGAGAUGAAAAUGAACAAUUGGUGGUUCCAGAGGUUCUUUGCCUUGCGUAGUUUUUCCUGAUGAAGCUCCGAGCAACAUUGUGCAACGAGUCUGAAGGCAAUGUCAAAGAGAUGCAAACCUAUUGGUAAAAUUGAGGAGGAUAUAUCCGCCACGAAUUCUGUUGUGGUUCACUCGAAGCUUACAUCAUGCCUUUCUGCUGCAAUCUCCUUGACUCCAUCAUCAAUAGUGAAUGAGAAAAAGAUGGAAUAGUGGUUGUAAAUUCUGAAUGAGGAUGAUGUUGUGUGGGGGACAAUGGGUAGUGCCCGAAGAUAUGGUCCAAAAAAUUGAUGUUGAGGGGCUUCUCAUGUGCAGGAGAAGGCAGGCUGGUUUUUAAGAAUAUGGACCGUUUUUGUAGAAGUUUUAGGAUGUUUUUGAACAAUGCUAAGUUUAUUAUUAUGUAGUUAUUGUCAUUCUUUCUUUCUUGUAAAGAUGUGAUGUGAUGCGAAUAUAUGCAAGUUUUUUUUUUAAGCAGUAAUGUUAAACAUUUUGAUUGGAAUUCAACACGGAGAAUUGAU